UUCUACUGUGGCAGAGGAAUGCUCAGGAUUUAAGUUCCUGCUACGAAGUUUUUACUUCCAUAGAAA
rnacentral:tRNA from 1 species